GCCCUUCGGUUCGGAAUAACUCAGGGAAACUUGAGCUAAUACCGGAUACGUGCGAGAGCAGAAAGAUUUAUCGCCGAAGGAUCGGCCCGCGUCCGAUUAGCUAGUUGGUGAGGUAAUGGCUCACCAAGGCGACGAUCGGUAGCUGGUCUGAGAGGAUGAUCAGCCACAUUGGGACUGAGACACGGCCCAAACUCCUACGGGAGGCAGCAGUGGGGAAUAUUGGACAAUGGGCGCAAGCCUGAUCCAGCCAUGCCGCGUGAGUGAUGAAGGCCUUAGGGUUGUAAAGCUCUUUCGCCAGGGACGAUAAUGACGGUACCUGGAUAAGAAGCCCCGGCUAACUUCGUGCCAGCAGCCGCGGUAAUACCAAAGGGGCUAGCGUUGUUCGGAUUUACUGGGCCGUCGC
rnacentral:rRNA from 1 species